GAGCAUUAUAAAGCUACGAAGAAAGUGUUGAUGUACUUGAAACGAACAAGGCAGUACAUGCUAAUGUAUCGAAGAUUUGAUAAAUUGGAGAUAGUUGAUUACUUCGACUCAAAUUUUGCCGGUUAUGUUGACAGUCGAUAAUCAACAUCUAUUUUACUUGUUCCUAUUAGCUGGAGGAGCAAUAUCAUGGAAGAGCGCCAAACAUACUAUCAUAGCAACAUCUACCAUGGAAGUUGAAUUUGUGGCAUGCUCUGAGCCCAGAGUUCAUGCAUUAUGGUUGAGAUUUUAUCUUAGGACUUGGAAUUGUCGACAGUAUUGCUAGGCUGCUGAGAGUGUAUUAUGAUCAUUCCGCACCAGUCAUUUUCUCCAAGACUGAAAAAUAUACUAAUGGCACUAAGCACAUAGAGCUCAAAUAUUUGGUCGCUAAGGAGGAAGUUCAGAAACAAAGAGUGUCUAUAGAACAUAUUAAGAUUGAGCUCAUAAUUACAGAUCCUUUAACUAAAGGAUUAUCACCAAAGACAUUUAAAGAGCAUGUUGAUCGUAUGGGUCUUGGUUUUGAUUCAUGAGUUUUGUUUAUGGAUCUCAAUCUUCAUGUUUUGUUCUAAGACAUUAAUAGAGAUCUCAUUUACCGUGUUUCUGAUAUCUUCUUGUUUUCCAUGUAUUAUGUAAUUAUGGAUAUGGAUUAUUCACAGCAAGAAUCGUCUUUGACAAAGACAUUAUUGGGACAUUAUAGUUACUUCCCGUUAUGGAUUGUGAUUAAGUGAUUUAUUAGCAUCGUGGUACAUGGAAGGGAAAAUGUUGCUAUAAUGAUAUUUACCUCCAUGACCCAUGUUGGCAAGUUAUUUAAUUACAAUAUUAACUAAUCUCACUAAGAGCCUAUUUAUGAAUGAUUUUGUCCUCCAAAAAAAUUGAUUUUUUGACCGUUAUUUUACUAUUCCUGCCGUCAUAUUUGAUUUCUUCUUUCACAUGUGGACCCCAUUUUUCUUCUAAUGAUCAAAAAAUCAAUUUUCAAAAUCACUCCCAAACAGGCUCUAAAGGUGCAAAUGAGCUGCUGUUAUGCAUAUAUUAUAGUUACCUUAUCAAUUCAAAUAAAAUGUCGUUGUCAUAUGGCUAAGUGUGAGAAUGUAAGAAUUAAUAUCCCACAUGACCGAAAAAAUAACUAACUUUAUUUGAAUUUUAAAUGUUGACGUAGUUAUUGGCUUAUAAAAGAUAGGCACGGUCGGUUUUGUGAGAUUUAUGAGGAGUUAUUUUUCUAAUUAACAACCUUUAUGGGGAGUGAUUACUAGAAGUUACUUUUGGGAAAAACCAUCCUCUCUCUACCGUACAUAUGUUGGCUGCGUACCCAUAGAUGUAGUCAAUUGAAAAGUUACAAGAAAUAGGGGUCAAGUUGAGAGAAACGUUUUCUCUAUUUUACUUGUUUAUCUUGUUUUGCAGAUUAGAAAUAUUUUGAUUAUCUCCAUGGAUCAAGAUAUGUUUCUUGAUCAUUUUAUUCAUAUGUGAAAAUUAUGGAAUUCUAAGAUCUUGGCAUUAAGGUUAAUUAAAUAUAUUACAUAUCUUUGACUUUUUCCGCAGCUUAGGAUAUAAUAGAGUAGGCUAAAUAUGGAUAAUUUUGCAUAUGGUAGUUUGGCUGCUCUAAAGGCUGUAAAACAUGUUUGUGUUAUUAGCUCUAAAGGCUAUAUAUCACUUUAAAUGAGCAUGUAUGUUUUCUAUUAUAAAGGUUAUUCCAUUACCAUAACAAGAGAAGAUACUCUUCUCAAAACUCUCUAAUUUGUUACUUCUAGCCCAUGAUUGAUGGGGAGAUAAGGAAAAGGGAGUAGGAUCUGAACCCUGGGAAUGCACCCAUUUUUGAUAAAUUCACGGCCCCAAAUGAAACUCAGUGAAGUGUUUCGAGUAUCAAAAUACGAGAGAGAAGUGAGAUUCAACAAAGAAAAUGAUUUUCUAGCAAUGAGGUAGGCUAUUUAUAAACCUAGUCGCAACCAUUCGAACACUAUAAGUCUUUUUGAAAUAGUGGUGAACGUUUAAACAAGUAUUUAAAAAUGAGUAGACAGCCUGUUCGGACUUCGGAUUGAAACAAUGUUUCUAUUAAAGUCGGUUAGCAAAUAUAUGUUAUUGAAAGUAGACAUCAAUCACAAACUUACCCAGAUGAUCAUAGAAAAUUUCAUGAAAACAAGCCAACGAUUGUGAUUUAUAUUAGAAAUAAUUUCACCGAGCACCUAAGAAUUAGUUUAAUUACAAUUUGGGCCAAAAUUUAAAUAAUUUUGUCCAAAAAAUAUAUGUAAGACAAGGACCAACUCAUCACCCGAACCAACUCAAACUCGAACUCGAACACAAACCAAGGCCCAUGCUCGUGUUGUGCUGAGUUGAGUUAGCAAGAUGGACGACGACAAAGAUGACAUUCUUGUAUGUGCUUAAGACUGAACCCAAUAAUAAGUAGAUCUUUUGCCGUCCAAAGACUAGUGGUGCCCCUUAAUGUUCGAACCCAAUUUUUAAACUUCCAUCACAUAAACCAAACAAUUUUUAAUGUGUGAUAAAAGUUCUACAAUUCAAUCAAAUUCUUUACUUUUCCAAAUUUCAAGUGAGUAACUUACGCAUCAAAAAUUUUAUUCAAUUCAUAUUGAUUUUCUAUAAAUAAAUUUACAUGUGAAUCAUCUCGUGGAGUAGAACGUGAAAUAUACUUUGUCACGUUAAUUUUUGAGCACAAGUCCCACAAAAAUUUGAGCUUAAAGUCGACCUAUUUCACAAUUAUUUAAAUCAUUUACAACAAAGUUAACUUUCUUAAGUAAUUUAAUUUUUUUAUAAAUAAAGAAAGAAAGAAAGAAAAAUGUAUACUUAAAUCUGGCAGGAAAAAUGUAUAAAAUGAAAAAAAAAAUGGAAUCUUUAAUAUUAGUGAUGACGGAGUUUUCUGUAAUAUUGAAAAUUAGAGUCCAUGUCUUAAUAUAUUUAAGAUAAAGAUACGACUUCUAUGCAUUUUAAAAUCAUCGUAAUUUUGAGAUAGUAUUUUAGGACGAGAAAAUUCCUAUUACAACCGAAUUAUGGAACUCACUAUUUCUUGCCACGUUUGUGAGACAUGUAUCAGGGGCGAAUCUAGGACUUCGACUCAGAUAAGACGGCCGUUGAUCGCUGGCCGUUAAUUGUCAAUAGUCAACGAUCGUAUAUCAUUGUCGUUUAUUAAUAUUAAAUUAAAUAAUAUUAAAAAUUCUUCAAUUUAUAUGUAAAUACACUAAAACAUAAAAAUCGUAUAUUUAUAUCAUAUUAUAGUUUAAUACAAUUCGAAAUAAUAUAAAUUACAUGAUACAUAAGACUUCUUUGUGUUUCAAUGCUUAACAAAUUGUUUGCUUAACUAAAAGUAGUUGACCGAUUAGAUACACCACUACAAGAACUCGAUUGAAAUUCAAUUAAAAAAAUCACUCCAUAAUUAGUAUGAGAAUUGAACAUUAAUCAAAUAUUAAAGUAAUUAAAAUUAAUUUUAAAAAUACAAUUAAAGUUUCAGUUUCCAAUUAUCAACACCAAUUCACAAAUUAUAAAUUUCCCAAUUUUUCAUUUUCAAUUUUCAUAAAUCACAUAUUCAGAUUUCACAAUUCUCAAAUUAAUUUUUAAUAUUAUAAUUUAGAGUAGACAAAUUCUCAAAUAACAUAUAAAUUAAAACUCAAUAUUUAUAAGUAAUAUCUUAUAAAUUAUUAAAGCAUGAAAUAUUUAAAAUGACAAACAUAAAAAAAAAAAAAAAAAAAAAAAAAAAAAAAAAGUCAUUUACUCACCUAGAGUCUUAACAUAUAUUAUUUUGUUAAAUUUAGAUUCAAAAUUCAACCAUUACCAUGAUGAUUAAGCUUUCAAUCAUCCUAAGGUCAUAGGUUCGAAUCCUUUCCUUAGGAAAUUAAUUAUGGUAAAUAUUGUAGAAAUAAAAAUUUUGCACAAUGAAAUGGAUGGAAAUAACUCAAACCCAAGAUUCACAAUAUAUAAAUACAAGCUCUAACAAUCUAAGCAAAAUAGGGUUUUUAAAAUAAAACGCACUACCAAUUAUAUAACCUAAAAUUUCUAUCUAUUAUCAAAAACAAAAAAAAUUCUCCUCGACGAAUCCAGUUACGGUGACCACCCCAGCUGGCCAUCACCUAAAUCCGCCCUUGCAUGUCUGCAGUGUGUUUCAAUUAUUUGAUACAAAUAUCAAUUAAAUAAUGGUACAAAGUGAUGAAUAAUAUAGAGUUCCCCUUUCUGACAAACCUUUCAAUAACACUACCCAAAAGAAAAAAUAAAGCAAUUUGGUCAAAUCCUAAUAUUUUGUAAGAACCUAUGGACACUAUAGAAACCAUGUGGUCGCACUUUAAUUAUAUAUAUAUAAUGUAAGCACAACACAUGACAAGGGUUUCCAUCAAUGAUAUUGUUAAAAAGGUUGAACCCCAACUUCGAGGGUUCUCAUCGUCCUGUCCUUGGAGUAUCGUGAGAGAGGUAAAUCGCGAGAUGUGCCUCAUCAGGCUAGGGAACAAAAGUUUGUUCGUACGCUGGUAUCCACAAAGAGCCCAAUUUCAUAUCUUAGAAAUCGAACCCUCACACUGCGACUGUCAACAAGAUUGAGAUUAUCUCACUUCUAUCUUUUGCACCACUGAAUUAUGUCGAGGGUCAAGAUAUUGUUACUUGUACAUCAAGUGGUGUCCACCCUCCUCACAUGGAGGGGACCUACUUAAAUGAAUCAUAUUUUAUUUAGAGUGACUCUGUCUCCAUGUGAGAUGGUGGAUAUCCCAAUGUACAUAUCGCAUCACCCUUGCAUCAACCCGCCACCCCCUCAAGAGUGCCUCAUGUUGCUGUCUCUCUCUCCUAAAAUCGCUGAAUUGUCAUCUAUUUACAUCGACACGCACAUAUAUACAAAUUUUGUUGAAAGGUAAAAUAUUUUUUAGAUAUUAGUUUUUGCUUUCGCCUCUAGUCACUGCUUGACUGAGAAUUGAGUUUUAUUUUUUAAAAUCAUUUUUGGAUUUUGUGAGUAUGGAUGGGAACAUGCAGACAGUGCCGGUCCUGUGCUUUCGAGGCCCUGAGGCGAACUUCAUAAAUUAGGCCCCCCUCCCCGAAAAAAAAAAAAAAUAUUUUUUUUUGGCUCUAGAAUCAUAUUUAGGAGACACCAUGGUAUAUGACUACGUGCGCCUAUGCAAUUGAUCAUUCGAUUAAAUCUAACAAAAGUCAAUAUAUAACCCGACAAGGGUGCAAUGCUACAAUGCAAUCAAAUAAGCCGACAAGGCCUUAACCAUAUAAGUUUAAUAUAAGUUUAAUAGUUUAUAAAUAAGCAAGGGCAAGCUAUCACUCACCUGAGAAAUAGGACUUGAGCAAAAAUUAUGAAAUGACACAAUGCAGCACUUUGAGAAUUCCACCAUCACAACUCAUAAUCCUGAAAUCAAAAUUUAACAUCAACCACAACAACCAAUUAAUUGUUGAAGAUAAAUUUAAGUUGUAUGUGAAGAUAAAUUUAAUAGCAAACAUUAAAUAAAUCCAUAAAACGUCUCUACAUUUCUCUCCCACUCCAUUCUUCUUUGCAUUUGCAUUUGCAUAAUAUAAUUUUCGACCACGAGGAGGACCUGGCUAAAUCCAUUCUUGAAGUGGACAGACGUGAAUACAUGGGAGCUCAAAAUCUUUCGAUCUCAAUACAUCAUUCUAGAAGACUCACACAACUAAGGUUCUACAUUUCUAGUAUCAAUUCAAGCACUGAUAUCUCAUUAAGAGACAUCAAAAUCAGUUCAGUUAGCAGCAUAAUAAAGGCUAAAUCAUACUGCAAAAACAUUGGAGAAUGACACUUUUCCAGAUGAUUGCUAUAAUUAACCAUUUUUUGUUCUUUGUGUAUACUUAAGUUUGUGCCGUGGUUUCAAUACGGCACAUGUAAAUUAUGUCCAACACCUUCAAAGUGCACCACUACAAGAUCUAAAAUUCCUAAAAUUCUUCCAAUUGACAUGUCCAUCAGUAAACCCCAAAGUAAUCUUAAUCUCAAAUGAGUCGGGUUUGUCUCAAAUUAAUCUUAAAAUUGAGGAGUCAGCAUUUUAUUUUUUAUUUUUUUUGUCUUUCUACCAAUCUCAAUAUCAAAGUAAAUAAUUGUAUUAACAAACAAACUUUCUUCUCACGAAGCAAGAUAAUUCUGAAAGAGAAAAGACAAAUAUUAUCAUGUAAACUAGAUUUCCACUGUGCUCAGGAAAAAUGUGUAACAUAUAAAAAUUGAAAUGAUUUUAAUAGGCAAGCAUGUAGAAACACACCCAUGUGAAAGGUUAUAUAAGGAAACCUUACUCUUCCUCCUCUCCAGAAGAAUCUAUUGAUUCCAUUGAUGGUGUUUUCCUGGCCGGAAGAAGAAAACAAUCAGAAUGUUCGGCUCCAAAACAUUCAAACUUAAGAAACACAUAAAUCUGCAAAAUAAAAAUUAGAGGAAUCUGUAAAUUGGUUACUCAAUGAUUGCUUAAAGUUUUAUUAUUC
rnacentral:lncRNA from 1 species